rnacentral:rRNA from 1 species
UUGAUCCUGGCUCAGGAUGAACGCUAGCGGCAGGCCUAACACAUGCAAGUCGAGGGGUAACGAGUCAGCUUGGUCCAUGGUGACGACCGGCGCACGGGUGAGUAACGCGUAUGGAACCUACCUCUAACUGGAAGAUAGCCUCGCGGAAAUCGGAUAAUAUCGAUUACGAUACAUAUGUGGCCUCUCAAAUAGAUAAAAGCUACGAGCGGUUACAGAUGGUCAUGCGUAACAUUAGCUAGUUGGUGAGGUAACGGCUCACCAAGGCCACGAUGUCUAGGGGUUCUGAGAGGAUAGUCCCCCACACUGGUACUGAGACACGGACCAGACUCCUACGGGAGGCAGCAGUGAGGAAUAUUGGUCAAUGGGCGCUAGCCUGAACCAGCCAUGCCGCGUGCAGGAUGACGGCCCUACGGGUUGUAAACUGCUUUUGUGCGAGAAGAAUAUAUCCUAUGUGUGCUGUGUUGACGGUAUCGCACGAAUAAGCAUCGGCUAACUCCGUGCCAGCAGCCGCGGUAAUACGGAGGAUGCAAGCGUUAUCCGGAUUCAUUGGGUUUAAAGGGUGCGCAGGCUGUAAACUAAGUCAGUGGUGAAAUCCCUGGGCUUAACUCUAGAAUUGUCAUUGAUACUGUUUUACUAGAAUGCAGUAGAGGACGGCGGAAUGUGUAGUGUAGCGGUGAAAUGCUUAGAUAUUACUCAGAACACCUAUUGCGAAGGCAGCUGACUAUACUGCGAUUGACGCUGAGGCACGANAGCGUGGGUAGCGAACAGGAUUAGAUACCCUGGUAGUCCACGCCGUAAACUAUGAUCACUCGUUGUUG